UGGGGAAUAUUGCACAAUGGGGGAAACCCUGAUGCAGCGACGCCGCGUGAGCGAAGAAGGUUUUCGAAUCGUAAAGCCCUGUCCUAUGAGAAGAUAAUGACGGUAUCAUAGGAGGAAGCCCCGGCUAAAUACGUGCCAGCAGCCGCGGUAAUACGUAUGGGGCGAGCGUUGUCCGGAAUUAUUGGGCGUAAAGGGUACGUAGGCGGUCUAUUAGUCAGGUGUGAAAGCGUGAGGCUUAACCUCAUUAAGCACUUGAAACUGAUAGCAUUGAGUGAAGGAGAGGAAAGUGGAAUUCCUAGUGUAGCGGUGAAAUGCGUAGAUAUUAGGAGGAAUACCGGUGGCGAAGGCGACUUUCUGGACUUUUACUGACGCUCAGGUACGAAAGCGUGGGGAGCAAACAGG
rnacentral:rRNA from 1 species